ACAAUAGCUCAAAUUUUUUUUUCUCAUCACUUCUCAUGAUUUCCCUGCAGGGGACAAGUAGAUGUGUCGGUAUUCAAUGGCAUUAGCGCACUCGGGGGCACGCUCAUUAUGUGAACGUGAUCUUGAGACUUAAAGCUAAUCAACGGCGUGUUCGUCAUAUUUCGUCUUCUGUCUGCGCGCUCAUUUUUAAGGGGAAAAUACUGAAGGUUUUAAUGAAAAAGCCCUCGGGCUCCGUCUUUUCGAGGCUAGAGAAAGCGUUUGAUGACUGAGGGCUACCAGAGUCGCAGGUCUUUGAAAUGUUCCACACAACUCGGCGUGGUGUUUGUCCAUCAAAUGUAUUCUAAGCCUGAGCGUAAUAUCGGAGGGGUACGCUACCUUUGUUGGGAGGUUCACAGGAAGUUCAAAAAUCAAGAGCGAUGCUACAAUAUUUACGACGGGUUGAAGAUUGUUGGGGGGGGAAAAAAAAAGGUUACUUCAAUGACUAAAAGCCUGGAGCUAGCUAGCAUCGUUGACUGGAAGUUACGCAACACUCAUAAAUACCAUUUGAUUCAUCGGUUAGAUUUGGCACACCCGCUCUCCCCUUCAAAAACAGAACGUCAAAAACAAAACCGUUUACAGUCAAUGUGGCAGUGUGUUGUUAGUCACGCAAACCUGAAAGUCAAAGGAAAGGUUUCUGAAUUUCAUCUCACCCUCACACUACACCUAACACCAAAGCCUACCCCACCAAAAAAAACCUACCCACUAAACCUAGCCCUUCGAACACCUAACCCUUAAAGCUAACCCUAACCUUAAAAUCUAAUCCCAAAACCUAGCACCUAACCUUAACCGCAACCCACACCCUAACCCUGAAACUUCGUCCUAACCAUAACUCUUGAACCUCGUCCUAAACCUGAUAAGUAAAUAAAACCUUGUCACAGGGACGGCUUCAGGAUUUUUCCUCUUAAGGAGCUGGGGGGGGUAAAGGGUGAGAAAACAAUUUCUAAAUAUAUUUUAGAAUAUCAAAUAAAAUGCUAGCGGGGCUUCACUGGAGCUACACAGAUUUCUAACGUCGAAGCACAAAUCGGUGAAUAGUGGCCUAAAAUGGGGAUUAACAAACCGGAAUGCAGCCGAUUUCCAAAGAACCGAGAUGCCUUGAAUGAUCCGUCAUCGGGCUAUGUGCUCAUUUUAUCAAAGAACCUUGCAUAAGAUUCGGUUAAAACAACCCCCGAGGCCAAACAACAGCGGCGCAACCUCGCAAGCGUAUGCCACGGUGGGCAAGGGAGGGGCAGCGUCAUCGCGCAAAACCAUCCAGAUGUGUUUACAGAAGCGCUUUUAGCAAUGACAAUGGCGCACAGGAACAUUCUGUGCAAAGGAGGGGAGGAAAGUAAAAGGUGGCACAAAAAAAAAGAAGCAAAGCCUGGUCUCAAAAGACUGAUUACAUUUCCUCAGAGGCAAGUGAGGACGGGGGGGGUUUGGUGGGUACACAUUGGCCUUUGUGAGUGCACUGAGCUAUGGCUCUCGUGUAAAUGGGAAUGUAUGUAAAUAUAUAUAUUUAAAAAAAAAAAAAAAGCUUUGUGAAUUCCACAGGUAAGCUAUCAACGGCGAGCCAGACCAGCCCAAACAGGCAGAGAGCAGGGCGGGGCUUUUUUUUUUUUUUUUUCAGCCAGAGGCCUUGGACGUCUUCAGUGGCUUUAAAAGUGGGAGGGUGCGGGCGUUUUGGACUUUCACUGCGACUGAAGAGACAGCCUUGGCCUCUGGCAAUCCAAGCAAAGUGCAAAUUAGAAACCAUGCGAGGAUGGGUAUAAAAUAUGAUCUCAAGAUUAAGGGGCUCAAGCAGUGCAGGGCAGAGGGGAGAGGGGGGGGCAUCCAACCUGUCGCCCCCCCCAAGUCAGUUUAGAUGGACUGCGGCUUUGAAGUGAUCUUGAUCCUAAAAUGGCAGCUUCAUAAACAUAAAAUGGUGGUGCAAAUUUGGUAGCAAUCGGAUAAAAUCUCUCAGUCAUGUUGGUGUCAAACCAAAAUGGCAGACUUGCUUGUUUUUUUUUUCAGGAUUGGCUGCGUGAUUUUUGUUUUAUGGGUCAACCCCUGACAGACAUGUUGACUGAAUUUCACAGUGGUCCACGGAUCAUAUUUAAUAACAACAAUCGGACACGAUUUCCGAAUCCUAAAUCCUAAAAUGUCUGCUUGAACCAAAAUGGUGGACCUCAAGUGUCUUUUCUGGCGUUAAGAUAGCUUCUAGAGACUUUUUUUUUUGGGUGGGUCUACUCACGAUAGCGACCAAAUUUCAAAUGACUAAAUUCAACUUGCUUCGCGGGGGGUGAAUUUUCUUUUCCGUCGUCCAUUUGACUUGAGGUUCCAUGACCUCGUGAUGUCAUCCUUCAUCCUACACCUGAAGAUAGGAAGGUGAGGAAGGUAAGGAAAUCCACCCUUGACUGACCCCACCCCCCCUCCCCCACCUAGCGCUCCACUUAAUCCGGCAGUGUGCACAUACACGAAGAGAAACACUGUAUUCUGAGCUUGGGGGCGAGUGAUGGGAAAGAAAAAAAAAAAUUCCUCCUGUGGGCUUUCAAGCGCUUCGGACGCGUAAGUCAACACGCAAGAUAAAUAGAGUGCAGCUCCAGCUGUCAUGGCAAGUGUCCCACAUUGUCUCGGGGCGAACAAACAAAUGUGCACUGAUUGCUCAACAGCGCCUGGAGCUUUGUCAGCCGCCCAUGGGUGCAUACAUCCAACUGAGGGUGUGGAGCGGCGGGCCAGGAACAACACAGGCAAGAGGGAUCACUUUCCCGCCAAAUAAGAGGCGGUGACAGAUUGACCUCGUCGCAAAAUGAAGAACACUUCCUGUGGGACAAAAAGAGGAGAGGAGCGAGAACGUCGUCCUGGCUUGGAUCUGUCUCUCUCCCUCGACCGUCCCGUGGCGUCUUCCGCCGACUCUUUUAUGUAUAAUUUAAGGGAAUGCGCGCGAGAUAAAGCCCGGAAUAAAGACGGCGCUCUUUAAGCUCUUCA